CCUACGGGUGGCUGCAGUGGGGAAUUUUGCGCAAUGGGCGAAAGCCUGACGCAGCAACGCCGCGUGGGUGAUGAAGGUCUUCGGAUCGUAAAACCCUGUCGUUGGGGACGAAGGUGGGGGCGUUAAUAGCGUUUCUGCUUGACGGUACCCGGAGAGGAAGCCCCGGCUAACUCUGUGCCAGCAGCCGCGGUAAUACAGAGGGGGCAUGUGUUGUUCGGGGUUAUUGUGCGUAAUGUGCUAAGUCGGGGGUGUAAUCCCCGAGCUCAACUUGGGAACUGCAUCUGAGACUGGAAGGCUAGAGUACUGGAGAGGGUGGUGGAAUUCCUCGUGUAGCGGUGAAAUGCGUAGAGAUGAGGAGGAACACCAGUGGCGAAGGCGGCCACCUGGACAGUAACUGACGCUGAGGCGCGAAAGUGUGGGUAGCAAACAGGAUUAGAUACCCGGGUAGUC
rnacentral:rRNA from 1 species